CAGUCGCCGCGGUAAUACGAAGGGUGCGAGCGUUAAUCGGAAUUACUGGGCGUAAAGGGCGCGUAGGCGGGUUUUUAAGUCAGAGGUGAAAUCCCAAGGCUCAACCUUGGAACUGCCUUUGAUACUGGAAGUCUUGAGUCCGGGAGAGGUGAGUGGAACUGCGAGUGUAGAGGUGAAAUUCGUAGAUAUUCGCAAGAACACCAGUGGCGAAGGCGGCUCACUGGCCCCGUACUGACGCUGAGGCACGAAAGCGUGGGGAGCAAACAGGAUUAGAUACCCCAGUAGUCCCUGUCUCUUAUCA
rnacentral:rRNA from 1 species